rnacentral:rRNA from 1 species
UCCGUAGGUGAACCUGCGGAAGGAUCAUUACAGAAAUAGGAGAAGGUUGCUUAACUGCAAUCCUUUUCUUUCUACACAUGUGUUUUUCUUUUUUUUGAAAACUUUGCUUUGGUGGGCCCACGGCCUGCCAGAGAUUAAACUCAACCAAAUUUUUAUUUAAUUGUCAACUUGAUUAACUAAUAGUCAAAACUUUCAACAACGAAUCUCUUGGUUCUCGCAUCGAUGAAGAACGCAGCGAAAUGCGAUAAGUAAUAUGAAUUGCAGAUAUUCGUGAAUCAUCGAAUCUUUGAACGCACAUUGUGCUCUUUGGUAUUCCAAAGGGCAUGCCUGUUUGAGCGUCAUUUCUCCCUCAAACCUUCGGGUUUGGUGUUGAGCGAUACGCUGGGUUUGCUUGAAAGAAAGGCGGAGUAUAAACUAAUGGAUAGGUUUUUUUUUCCACUCAUUGGUACAAACUCCAAACAUUCUUCCAAAUUCGACCUCAAAUCAGGUAGGACUACCCGCUGAACUUAAGCAUAUCAAUAAGCGGAGGA